rnacentral:rRNA from 1 species
UCUUAUAUGGAGAGUUUGAUCCUGGCUCAGGACGAACGCUGGCGGCGUGCCUAAUACAUGCAAGUCGAGCGGACGGAUGGGAGCUUGCUCCCAGACCGUCAGCGGCGGACGGGUGAGUAACACGUGGGCAACCUGCCUGUAAGACUGGGAUAACUCCGGGAAACCGGGGCUAAUACCGGAUAAUUCUUUUCCUCACAUGAGGAAAAGCUGAAAGAUGGCAUCUCGCUAUCACUUACAGAUGGGCCCGCGGCGCAUUAGCUAGUUGGUGAGGUAACGGCUCACCAAGGCCACGAUGCGUAGCCGACCUGAGAGGGUGAUCGGCCACACUGGGACUGAGACACGGCCCAGACUCCUACGGGAGGCAGCAGUAGGGAAUCUUCCGCAAUGG